rnacentral:rRNA from 1 species
CUGGUUGAUCCUGCCAGUAGUCAUAUGCUUGUCUCAAAGAUUAAGCCAUGCAUGUCUAAGUACAUACCUUAGCACGGUGAAACCGCGAAUGGCUCAUUAAAUCAGUUAUGGUUCCUUAGAUCGUUCUUUUUACAUGGAUAACUGUGGUAAUUCUAGAGCUAAUACAUGCAAAAAGCUCCGACCGUAUGGGAAGAGCGCUUUUAUUAGACCAAAACCAAUGGGGUCGCAAGAUCCCUUUGUCUGGUGACUCUGGAUAACUUUGUGCUGAUCGCAUGGCCUAGAGCCGGCGACGUAUCUUUCAAGUGUCUGCCCUAUCAACUUUCGAUGGUAAGCGAUUUGCCUACCAUGGUUGUAACGGGUAACGGGGAAUCAGGGUUCGAUUCCGGAGAGGGAGCAUGAGAAAUGGCUACCACAUCUACGGAAGGCAGCAGGCGCGCAAAUUACCCACUCCUAGAACGGGGAGGUAGUGACGAAAAAUAACAAUACCGGACUCAAUGAGGCUCGGUAAUUGAAAUGAGUACAGUUUAAAACCCUUAACGAGGAUCUAUUGGAGGGCAAGUCUGGUGCCA